GUCUGGAGGCCUUGGACUGCAAAGAGAGCUUUGGCUUGGAGAAUAUCUGUUACCUCCACUGCUGAGCUCUCCAGAUUUGCUCUUGGGAGCAAAAGCUCAGUCAGCCUGGUGAAGGGGGUGACUCCUCUUUGCACCCCAACACCAGAGCAGCAGAUGCCUGCUGCUGGGCUGACCGACAGGAAUGGCAUGACUGGAACUCUGGGCUGCCUCGAUCUCCUCCACGUGGUCCUUCUUCUGCUGUCAGGGCAGAGGCUCACACUGAUAGUGGGGGUCUUCGGGGAGCUGACCUUCUGUGCCCACUGAGCUUCUUCAGGGACAGAAGGUUUCCAAACCCAAGCCCCACACGCUCUGCGCAUUAGUGGAUUCAAGGCCACCGCUUUCUCUCCAUCCUGAGUCAGAACUCCCUGAACAUCCCUGUGCCCACUGUUCCUACCUCUGCAGAGGGGCUGGGGACAUUGCCUUCCUGCUCAGGGGCCUGGGUUUCUGAGGAGGGCAUGGGGCGCCCGCGUCGGUCCUCAGUAUCCAAGACAAGCAUUUGUCGUGAGCCUGCUCUCCUGGAAAGCCUGGCCUGGGAUUCGACAGAAUGGUGAUUUCUCCAUGGGAAGCCGGGGCUGGGGGCACAUUUUGCUCCUUAACUGUCCACGCUCUUCCCACAGGUCUGUGACAGCUGGCAGCCAGGAUGAGCACUGGGGAGGUGCUGAGAAGUGGGGUGCUCUCCCCAGCUGAGCACACCUAUUGGACAGGACAAAGUGGAUAGCCGGCCUCACCGGAACCUGUGAGUGGCGCUGCAUUGAAAGACUUUUCGUGUAAACACCAGGGAGGGGACAAUAAUAACUCGAGAACCAUCUGUUUGAUUGAGUCCUUGACUUUUUUUUUACAUUUCC